CUGCCAAGGGGGCGGGCAUGCGCUGUUGUUCAACUCAUUGGCCAGAGCAGUGUCACAUGACUGCCUGCAGAGGGGCGGGAAAUGUCAUGUUUCCAUCUCAUUGGCCAGAGCGGCUUCACCUGACUGCAGACAGAGGGCUGUGAUGUUUUUAAGUAGAAGCAUUGUUGUCCUUGACAAAGUAGAGGCCGUGUUAACAAAAGAGAAAAGGAAGGAUACCAUCUAUCAGAAGUUACCUCAGCAAUUUAAUAACAGCUUCUGAGGGGGAAAGAAAACAGAAAGAAGGAUGAAAUUAAAUGUCUAGAUCAAUUGAAAGAAGCAUCUUCUUUUGGACAGUUUGAAAUGUAUGCCCCAGAAUUGAAGAAAUGCAAUAUUAAUAUCAAAAGGCGGUUUCUAGAUUUCGGAUUCCUGGAAACGCUCCCAGGAACCGCCAAAGAGGAAGAGCAGAAGCAGCGCUGUUCCCGCGAACAGAGUAGAGUUCUAUUCUGCUACCAACUGGCCGAGGGACGCGGGGACGUCCCCUGCUCACUGUCUUCAGUUUUCUGUGGGACAAUGAGCCUCAGGCCUCCUAGCCCUGACUCUGGCAGAAGAGCAAAUUCCUUGGCCUGACCCAGCGGCACGUGCGGGCUCCUGGGGAGGGGCGUGGCCGACCCGGCCUCCCCCAGUGACCUGCACCUCCCCUCAGGCCCAGAGUGAAGAGCAGGGCAGCGGAGGCCACACUGCCAGGACCCUGGGCCUCGGGACGCAGCAGGCCGGGUUCCCAGCCUCCUCCCUGUGCGUUUGCUGGAGUCCUGUACCCACUCUUGGCGCCAGCCUGUCCCCAUCUCUGCCCUCCCCGCCCUGCCAUCCUAGACUGGCUCCCAGGAUGCCUGGAAGGCAGACUCUGGCAGCCUGUGAGUGGGUGGGAGGGAGGGCAGGACCCCAGAGGAGAAGGGAGAAGAAAUCAUGGGCUCCAAGUGGGUGCAUUUACUCCCAUCUGCUCCAGGUUAUCUUUAAAUAGGAUAAAAUUACCCUCUCAGCUCCUUUAUCUCCAUGCAGUACUUCUAAAAAAAGAGCAUCUUGACAUUUUAGGAGGAAAAAAAUAAGGAGAAGAUGAGACAUGUAAUAUCCAGUGUAUACUGAGGAUGGAGAAAUUUCAAUGAACUCAUAGUCAAACCUCCUUAAUGUCUUGAAAAAGAAAACCACACCGGGGUCUGAUGUCGGGAGGGGAGGAGAGUAUUCCAGGAGGAAAGCCCGGCUCCGAGGUAGAAAGAAGGCUGUGGGGAGGGGGUGGGGCAGGUUGGUCCCCUGGAGCUGGGGUCUGAGACAGGCCGUUGGGGUUUGGGGGGCUGAUGCAAGAACUCUGGGACUCAAGCGCCCCAGGACUCUGCACUCACUACCCACCCCCCCCCCCCCACUUGCUUUCUACCCCUUUGCAAACUGGCUCCUGGCCCCCCUGCUAGUGAGACUCUCUCCAUGGUAAGGCCUCACCAGCAAGUCCUUGCCUUGGCUGUCAGCUCCCGCCCUCUCCCCACGCCCACCCUCUCCCUGGUCAGCCAGGACCCUGUGCUCCCUGGUGGCCCUCUUCUGUCCACUCUGUUUCUGCUCUUCACUGCUCCUUCUCUGAAGAUGCCCCCAAGCUGUGUUCCCUAGUCCCUUCUCCUUGACCUGCUAACAGACCUGGGACUCAGGGACAUGGGAAGGAGACUUCGGUCAAGGUCACAGCAACAGGCACUAGAAGCAGAGUGAUGGGUCUUCGAGCUGAUGUGAGACUGCAGGCAGCACGUUCAAGGAGAAAGAGGAUGAACUUGGAAGCAGACACACCUGCCUUCAGAUCCUGGUUCUAUCAUUUGCCAGCCACGUGACCUUGGGCUCGAGAGCUCCUGAAGGCAGGAAUCGCAUCUGUGCUCUCAGCUUCAAGUCCCGUGUGGGCAAGGCAUCAGUUGCCGGUACAGGCGGCCUGACCUCGUGGGACACCUGGGCUCUCGAACACUGCUUUGCCUGAGUCCUUGCCUUCUCUUCCUUGAAGCACUGCGCAUGGAUCAGAGCUCCUUGCAAAUGGCUUCAGUAGAUACAAUAUUGCUAAUUGGAAACAACGAGAAUGACUUUAUACCCUGUAUCUUUUUGAAAUCUCUACGCUCUAAGGAUUAUUUGUAUCCUACGAGAGGCCCAAAGAUGGUCCAAAGAAAAUAACACUGUCCACAAACUACUGGAGCGCCUGCCUGAGAACCGCAGGACUCAGGAUCGUCAGCCUCCCGGGACGCGGUGGCGGGAUGACGGAGUUCUCCUCCAGGUCCCCCGAGAAUGCUGUCCUCGCCCCGCAGGCGUCUUCGCUGCAGGCUGAGUAGGACUCUGAGAUGGUCUUGUGCACGCUGAGCCCAACUGCUGGUCCGUGUCGACUGCAACCUGACUGACAGAGACCAAUAAAAAUAAUAUGACCCUUUCCUUUUGAAAUGUCCUCUAAUAACUCCAUUAGUUUCGCAGCCAAACCAAGGCAUGGAAAUUCCAGAACAACAGAGAAGUUUGUGCCACUCCCCCCCAGCUAUGGGGACUGUUCUCCCAAUCACAUAACUCGUAACCUCACCAAGGGCCUCUGUAGCCGUGAAAUGCUCUGGCCAGUGGGUGAGGGGCUGUAGGUGGACAGUGUCUGUGGGCAGACCAAGCUAAUGUUGUUGGAGCGGAGCAGGUCACCGCAGGGGAGGGCCCUGGGAGUGGUCACCAUGCUACAGCCACCGCUGCAGCCCAGCGUGACCUGGACAGCCCUGCUGGAAGUCGUGCUGUGCCCGGUCCCUGCAGGGCCGGCCGAGGAACGUCUAUAUUCAUUUCUUGAACUUCGUUCUGUUCCAUUUUCAUUCAAAUGACUUCCUGAAACCGAUUUUCUGGGCCCCUGGUGGCAUUUCCAUUCAUGCUUGCUCACUUUUAUUGACUUUUAUGGCAUCGUCUCUGGAACGGGUUCAUUAAUUUCCUCCUUUUCUUUCUUAAGAUACACCAGCUCAUUUUUCAACACUUUCUUUUUGUAGCUCUCAUCAAUAACUCUUCUUCGAGCCCUUGGGUCUUUCAGUUUUUCAUUUUGUUUCGUGUCUGGCCAUCCUGCUAGCUUGCCUAAGCAUUUCUUGUGGUUCUUGGGUAAUUCUAUUUAUUUGGGGGUGGGGGAGGGUAGCUCUUCUUAUGAAGUAAGUUCUUCAUUUAACUUUUGGUUAUGUUCCUUUUUUCUCAUGGUAUUUCCUUCAUGAGGGGCUGUUUCUCUGUACAAGCUCUUGUGUUCGUUCCUUGAUGGUGAUUAUUUACUUCUGAAUAGACCUGACCAUUUAUUGGAGCAGAAGGGGUGGGGAGCAGAUGGUCCCAGCUUCCAUUUGGGUUGUCAUCUCAAACAUCCUCACCCCAGAUACGUCAUUUCCUUUGUCCAAGGCGGGUGAGAUGUCCCCGCAGCUUUCGGUGGUCAAGAAUUGAGCAUGGCUUGCUGAAUCGGGGCACUGGGUCUCCUGUGG
rnacentral:lncRNA from 1 species